rnacentral:rRNA from 1 species
AUUGAACGCUGGCGGCAUGCCUUACACAUGCAAGUCGAACGGCAGCACGGGUGCUUGCACCUGGUGGCGAGUGGCGAACGGGUGAGUAAUACAUCGGAACGUACCUUAUCGUGGGGGAUAACGCAGCGAAAGUUGCGCUAAUACCGCAUACGCCCUGAGGGGGAAAGCGGGGGACCGUAAGGCCUCGCGCGAUUAGAGCGGCCGAUGUCUGAUUAGCUUACUGGUGAGGUAAAAGCUCACCAAGGCGAUGAUCAGUAGCUGGUCUGAGAGGACGAUCAGCCACACUGGGACUGAGACACGGCCCAGACUCCUACGGGAGGCAGCAGUGGGGAAUUUUGGACAAUGGGGGCAACCCUGAUCCAGCAAUGUCGCGUGAGUGAAGAAGGCCUUCGGGUUGUAAAGCUCUUUUGUCAGGGAAGAAACAGCAGCUCUAACACAGUCUGCGAAUGACGGUACCUGAAGAAUAAGCACCGGCUAACUACGUGCCAGCCGCCGCCGUAA